GAUGAACGCUAGCUACAGGCUUAACACAUGCAAGUCGAGGGGCAGCAUGGUCUUAGCUUGCUAAGGCCGAUGGCGACCGGCGCACGGGUGAGUAACACGUAUCCAACCUGCCGUCUACUCUUGGACAGCCUUCUGAAAGGAAGAUUAAUACAAGAUGGCAUCAUGAGUCCGCAUGUUCACAUGAUUAAAGGUAUUCCGGUAGACGAUGGGGAUGCGUUCCAUUAGAUAGUAGGCGGGGUAACGGCCCACCUAGUCUUCGAUGGAUAGGGGUUCUGAGAGGAAGGUCCCCCCACAUUGGAACUGAGACACGGUCCAAACUCCUACGGGAGGCAGCAGUGAGGAAUAUUGGUCAAUGGACGAGAGUCUGAACCAGCCAAGUAGCGUGCAGGAUGACGGCCCUAUGGGUUGUAAACUGCUUUUAUAAGGGAAUAAAGUGGGAGUCGUGACUCUUUUUGCAUGUACCUUAUGAAUAAGGACCGGCUAAUUCCGUG
rnacentral:rRNA from 1 species